rnacentral:rRNA from 1 species
UACGUAGGGUGCAAGCGUUAAUCGGAAUUACUGGGCGUAAAGCGUGCGCAGGCGGUUUUGUAAGUCUGACGUGAAAGCCCCGGGCUUAACCUGGGAAUUGCGUUGGAGACUGCAAGGCUUGAAUCUGGCAGAGGGGGGUAGAAUUCCACGUGUAGCAGUGAAAUGCGUAGAGAUGUGGAGGAACACCGAUGGCGAAGGCAAUCCCCUGGGCCUGCACUGACGCUGAGGCGCGAAAGCUAGGGGAGCAAACGGG